UACGAACUGUGCAAACGUUAUUCGGAAUCACUGGGCUUAAAGCGCGCGCAGGCGGCUUGGCGCGCCCGACGUGAAAGCCCCCGGCUUAACCGGGGAGAGUCGUCGGGUACGGCCAGGCUUGAGGGCGGGAGAGGGUGGUGGAAUUCCCGGUGUAGUGGUGAAAUGCGUAGAGAUCGGGAGGAACACCUGUGGCGAAGGCGGCCACCUGGGCCGACCCUGACGCUGAGGCGCGAAGGCGUGGGGAGCGAACGGG
rnacentral:rRNA from 1 species